rnacentral:rRNA from 1 species
UUUUAUAAGAUUUUUUAUUAAAAUUAUUUAUUAAUAGUUAAAAAUUAAAAUAUAAAAUUUUAUUUUAUUGGGGUGAUAGAAAAAUACAUGAAACUUUUUAUUUUAAUUUUAACAUAUAUAAGUGAUUUUAUGAUCCAAUAUUAUUGAUU